UACGUAGGGUGCGAGCGUUAAUCGGAAUUACUGGGCGUAAAGCGUGCGCAGGCGGUUCGCUAAGACCGAUGUGAAAUCCCCCGGGCUUAACCUGGGAACUGCAUUGGUGACUGGCGGGCUAGAGUAUGGCAGAGGGGGGGUAGAAUUCCACGUGUAGCAGUGAAAUGCGUAGAGAUGUGGAGGAAUACCGAUGGCGAAGGCAGCCCCCUGGGCCAAUACUGACGCUCAUGCACGAAAGCGUGGGGAGCAAACAGG
rnacentral:rRNA from 1 species